rnacentral:rRNA from 1 species
UACGUAGGGCGCGAGCGUUGUCCGGAAUUAUUGGGCGUAAAGAGCUCGUAGGCGGCCUGUUGCGUCCGCUGUGAAAGUCCAGGGCUCAACCCUGGAAUGCCGGUGGAAACUGUCGAGCUAGAGUCCGGAAGAGGCGAGUGGAAUUCCUGGUGUAGCGGUGAAAUGCGCAGAUAUCAGGAGGAACACCAAUGGCGAAGGCAGCUCGCUGGGACGGUACUGACGCUGAGACGCGAAAGCGUGGGGAGCAAACAGG